UGCAACUAAACCGAAUCUGUAUUGCAGA
rnacentral:sRNA from 1 species